UCAGAUUGAACGCUGGCGGCAAGCCUCAUACAUGCAAGUCGAGCGAGAACGUUACUUCGGUAGCUAGUAAAGCGGCGGACGGGUGAGUAACGCGUAGGAAUCUACCUUUCAGCGGGGGAUAGCUCGGGGAAACCCGAAUUAAUACCGCAUACACCCUAAGGGGGAAAGAGGGCCUAUCCUUGGAAGCUCUCGCUGUUAGAUGAGCCUGCGUGAGAUUAGUUUGUUGGUGGGGUAAUGGCCUACCAAGACUGCGAUCUCUAGCUGGUCUGAGAGGACGAUCAGCCACACUGGGACUGAGACACGGCCCAGACUCCUACGGGAGGCAGCAGUAGGGAAUAUUGGACAAUGGGGGCAACCCUGAUCCAGCUAUGCCGCGUGUGUGAAGAAGGCUCUAGGGUUGUAAAGCACUUUAGGUAAGGACGAAAAGAAUAUAGUUAAUACCUAUAUUCCGUGACUUAACUACAGAAUA
rnacentral:rRNA from 1 species